rnacentral:rRNA from 1 species
AUGUACUACUAUGGGAUAGAUUUCCAUGACCUAUCCCCCAACUCCUUCCUCAACAUCUCGACAUUCAUCGUCGUGUGCGAGGCCUUCCUCUGCAUCCCGCCACACUUCGGACUGUGGCUAAAGGUUUUCAACGUGAAGCCAAAGGUGGUAGGCGGCGAACAUGCCGAGUGUGGAGGAGCCAUGGUGAGCAAGAUGCCCAAUGUCAAAUGGCCAUCAGGUAAAUUCAACGAGUCCAUCAAAGGUUGGCAGCAACAAUGGUUCUAUGUUACUGAGCCGCGAGGCACCAAAUGGGUUGCUGCCCCCGAAUUCUGA